rnacentral:misc_RNA from 1 species
CCUAGAGUUGUAGGCUUUGCCUGCUAUCUCUUACCCAUGUCUUUUGAGUACUUACGUUUCCUCGGCGGGUCCGCCCGCCGAUUGGACAAUUUUAAACCAUUUGCAGUUGCAAUCAGCGUCUGAAAACUUUAAUAGUUA